rnacentral:ncRNA from 1 species
AUGGACAAAGCCGAAAAUCCAAUAAAAGAGUAGGCA